rnacentral:rRNA from 1 species
UGCGUAGGCGGAUUAAUAAGUCAGUGGUGAAAACCUGCAGCUUAACUGUAGAACUGCCAUUGAAACUGUUAGUCUUGAGUACGGUCAAGGUAGGCGGAAUGUGUAAUGUAGCGGUGAAAUGCUUAGAUAUUACACAGAACACCGAUUGCGAAGGCAGCUUACUGGACCAUUACUGACGCUGAGGCACGAAAGCGUGGGGAGCGAACAGGAUUAGAUACCCUGGUAGUCC